AGAGUUUGAUCCUGGCUCAGGAUGAACGCUGGCGGCGUGCCUAACACAUGCAAGUCGAGCGAUUUACUUCGGUAAAGAGCGGCGGACGGGUGAGUAACGCGUGGGUGACCUGCCUCAUACACAUGGAUAACAUACCGAAAGGUAUGCUAAUACAAGAUGAUAUAAGAGAUUCGCAUGGAUUUCUUAUCAAAGCUCCGGCGGUAUGAGAUGGACCCGCGUCUGAUUAGCUAGUUGGUAAGGUAACGGCUUACCAAGGCGACGAUCAGUAGCCGACCUGAGAGGGUGAUCGGCCACAUUGGAACUGAGACACGGUCCAAACUCCUACGGGAGGCAGCAGUGGGGAAUAUUGCACAAUGGGCGAAAGCCUGAUGCAGCAACGCCGCGUGAGCGAUGAAGGCCUUCGGGUCGUAAAGCUCUGUCCUCAAGGAAGAUAAUGACGGUACUUGAGGAGGAAGCCCCGGCUAACUACGUGCCAGCAGCCGCGGUAAUACGUAGGGGGCUGGCGUUAUCCGGAUUUACUGGGCGUAAAGGGUGCGUAGGUGGUUUCUUAAGUCAGGAGUGAAAGGCUACGGCUCAACCGUAGUAAGCUCUUGAAACUGGGAAACUUGAGUGCAGGAGAGGAAAGUGGAAUUCCUAGUGUAGCGGUGAAAUGCGUAGAUAUUAGGAGGAACACCAGUAGCGAAGGCGGCUUUCUGGACUGUAACUGACACUGAGGCACGAAAGCGUGGGGAGCAAACAGGAUUAGAUACCCUGGUAGUCCACGCCGUAAACGAUGAGUACUAGGUGUCGGGGGUUACCCCCCUCGGUGCCGCAGCUAACGCAUUAAGUACUCCGCCUGGGGAGUACGCUCGCAAGAGUGAAACUCAAAUGAAUUGACGG
rnacentral:rRNA from 1 species